rnacentral:rRNA from 1 species
CCCUUAGAUGUCCUGGGCUGCACGCGCGCUACACUGACACAUUCAGCGAGUACAUCCUUACCCGUUGGGGUUGGGUAUUCUUCUCAAACUGUGUCGUGAUGGGGAUAGAUUAUUGCAAUUAUUAAUCUUCAACGAGGAAUUCCUAGUAAGUGCAAGUCAUCAGCUUGCGCUGAUUACGUCCCUGCCCUUUGUACACACCGCCCGUCGCUCCUACCGAGUGGGUGAUCCGGUGAACUAUUCGGACUCCGGUUAUUCCAGCAUUUGGUUUUGCUGGGGAAAGUUUCGUGAACCUUAUCACUUGGAGGAAGGAGAANUCGUANCA